AUGGCACAUUGCGAUUUCGUAAAGAGAUAUUUCGCUAUUCCUGUCAUUCCCAUAGUCCUCCCCUCCCUCGCUGCUCUGCUUCCUUUGUAUUUGGUAAAAUGGCCCUCUCCCCGGCCUGAGCCUUUGUUGAGCACACUGACGCUGCAGCAUCGACGGAUGUCUGUCUAUCCCCAGCCACUGUCAGUCUCCUCCAUUGCUGCUUCCACUGGUGUCAGGAGAUCUGUGUUUCCUCUGGCCAUCAUCUCCACUUUCUCCAUCAACUCUCUGACCUGUAUCCCAUCAUCCCACUGCAUGUUGUUAAGAAUGUGAUACCUGUUUCCACAUUUAUUAAUCAGCAUCCACAGAGUUUCUCCUUCACUCUCAAUGUGCUCUUCAAUAGUGGGAGUCCCCAUCCAGUUGCCUCUGGUGAACACCACUAUACAGUGCCUCCAAACAUUUUGACCCAGGAGUUCCUUGUGCUCCUUGACAGACCCUCCAUUUGCCUUACUGAAGGCGACAUCAGACUGCAGAACCAGCAAAACUGCAUGAGGUCCAGGUGAACACAUAGUAACACUUGACAUGAUCUCCUGCUUAACUGACUCUGAUGUUUACUUUACAGAUGCGUACGGCCACCAUCCAGGUCGAUGGUGAUGAUUAAAAUUACUUUUAUCUUGUCAACCUCUCCCUCCUUCAUCACACACGUUUUAGUCCUUUUCUCCUUUUUUUCAGGAUUUUAUUCCCCAAUAAGGUCUUCCCAACAAUUCUGGUACCCAUCAAGACAAUCUUUAACUCUGGAAGACAACAAUCUGCCAGAAAGAACAUGAACAGUGCUUAGCAUGCAGCUGGAGUUGUGUAACUUAUAUAAUUAAAGUAGUUCUAUUAAUUCUACCAUGAUGUCAAACAUUUUCUUAAACCAAAGAUGCACUAUACCUGCUAGAUGUUGUUUCCCGGUUUGCAUCUUUGUUUUUACUUGAAUCUCUCUCUCUUUUUCUUGUCUCUUUUCCUCCAUAUCCUCAAAAAGUUUGCUGUCAAUUUUAAAGCACUCUCCUUCAUACUCAGCUACCAAUCUCUCUAUCGCAUGAAACAGUUUUUGUACAUUUAUCUGCUGUCAGUAUAGUUGAAAACAUGGACUCUUUUCCCACACUUUUGUAUUAGAGCAUGAAGUUCCGUCCCUGCUCUUUCAGUUAGUUGCAUGCAAUUUGCAUUUCUCAGCUCUGUGUUGUCAUACAUGAGCAGAACAAUGGUGUGCUUCCAGAUCUGCUC
ensembl:lncRNA